rnacentral:miRNA from 1 species
AAGGAGAAAAGUAGAAGACGAUU